UAGGGAAUCUUGCGCAAUGGCCUAACGGCUGACGCAGCGACGCCGCGUGUGGGAUGAAGCUCCUCGGAGUGUAAACCCCUGUUGCCCGGGGCGAACAUCCCUUUUCGAGGGGACUGACGGUACCGGGUGAGGAAGCACCGGCUAACUCCGUGCCAGCAGCCGCGGUAAUACGGAGGGUGCGAGCGUUGUCCGGAAUCAUUGGGCGUAAAGGGCGCGUAGGUGGCCCGGUCAGUCUUUGGUGAAAGCGCGGGGCUCAACCCUGCGUCGGCCAGGGAUACUGCCGCGGCUCGAGCACUGUAGAGGCAGGCGGAAUUCCGGGUGUAGCGGUGGAAUGCGUAGAGAUCCGGAAGAACACCGGUGGCGAAGGCGGCCUGCUGGGCAGUUUGGCUGACACUGAGGCGCGACAGCGUGGGGAGCAAAACA
rnacentral:rRNA from 1 species